rnacentral:rRNA from 1 species
UCUCCGGAGGGAAGCGAGUGGCGAACGGCUGAGUAACACGUGGAGAACCUCGCCCCCUCCCCCGGGAUAGCCGCCCGAAAGGACGGGUAAUACCGGAUACCCCCGGGCGCCGCAUGGCGCCCGGGCUAAAGCCCCGACGGGAGGGGAUGGCUCCGCGGCCCAUCAGGUAGACGGCGGGGUGACGGCCCACCGUGCCGACAACGGGUAGCCGGGUUGAGAGACCGACCGGCCAGAUUGGGACUGAGACACGGCCCAGACUCCUACGGGAGGCAGCAUG